GAUGAACGCUGGCGGCGUGCCUAAUACAUGCAAGUCGAGCGAACGGACGAGAAGCUUGCUUUUCUGAUGUUAGCGGCGGACGGGUGAGUAACACGUGGAUAACCUACCUAUAAGACUAGGAUAACUUCGGGAAACCGGAGCUAAUACCGGAUAAUAUUUUGAACCGCAUGGUUCAAAAGUGAAAGACGGUCUUGCUGUCACUUAUAGAUGGAUCCGCGCUGCAUUAGCUAGUUGGUAAGGUAACGGCUUACCAAGGCAACGAUGCAUAGCCGACCUGAGAGGGUGAUCGGCCACGCUGGAACUGAGACACGGUCCAGACUCCUACGGGAGGCAGCAGUAGGGAAUCUUCCGCAAUGGGCGAAAGCCUGACGGAGCAACGCCGCGUGAGUGAUGAAGGUCUUCGGAUCGUAAAACUCUGUUAUUAGGGAAGAACAUAUGUGUAAGUAACUGUGCACAUCUUGACGGUACCUAAUCAGAAAGCCACGGCUAACUACGUG
rnacentral:rRNA from 1 species